CUAGUCCUUCAUACCUUCAAAGUCUGUCUCCAGCUUUGAAGUAAGGGAACAAACCAACCUGAAGUUGGAGACAGACUUUGAGGGUAUGAAGGGCUGG